UGGGGAAUUUUGCACAAUGGGGGAAACCCUGAUGCAGCGACGCCGCGUGAUUUAGAAGGCCUUCGGGUUGUAAAAAUCUUUUGUAUGGGAAGAAAAUGACAGUACCAUACGAAUAAGGACCGGAUAAUUACGUGCCAGCAGCCGCGGUAAUACGUAAGGUCCGAGCGUUGUCCGGAAUCAUUGGGCGUAAAGGGUACGUAGGCGGAUAAGCAAGUUAGAAGUGAAAUCCUAUAGCUCAACUAUAGUAAGCUUUUAAAACUGCUCAUCUUGAGGUAUGGAAGGGAAAGUGGAAUUCCUAGUGUAGCGGUGAAAUGCGCAGAUAUUAGGAGGAAUACCGGUGGCGAAGGCGACUUUCUGGCCAUAUACUGACGCUGAGGUACGAAAGCGUGGGUAGCAAACAGG
rnacentral:rRNA from 1 species